rnacentral:rRNA from 1 species
GUGGGGAAUCUUCCGCAAUGGACGAAAGUCUGACGGAGCAACGCCGCGUGAGUGAAGAAGGUUUUCGGAUCGUAAAGCUCUUUCGUUAGGGACGAACGUGCUCUUUGUGAAUAAUGAGGAGUAAUGACGGUACCUAAAUAAGAAGCCACGGCUAACUACGUGCCAGCAGCCGCGGUAAUACGUAGGUGGCAAGCGUUGUCCGGAAUUAUUGGGCGUAAAGCGCGCGCAGGCGGGAUAUCAAGUCUGUCUUAAAAGUGCGAGGCUCAACCUCGUGAGGGGACAGAAACUGGUAUUCUUGAGUGUCGGAGAGGAAAGUGGGAUUCCAAGUGUAGCGGUGAAAUGCGUAGAGAUUUGGAAGAACACCAGUGGCGAAGGCGACUUUCUGGACGAUGUCUGACGCUGAGGCGCGAAAGCUAGGGGAGCGAACGGGAUUAGAAACCCUUGUAGUCC